rfam:Asian citrus Psyllid, Diaphorina citri - Florida Strain, whole genome shotgun sequence.
GCUAGCGGCGAUAGCUCGUUGAAUCACCAGUUCCCAUGGGUCACUGAAGUUAAACAAUGUUGCAAUUGGUUGGGAUCUGGAUGGGUGACUAUCCAGCCAAUCGAGUGGUGCCGGUU